CGCGGGUGGGGCGCUCCGACUGCCACGGGGCUCCCCUGAGCCUCCUCUUCUCCUGACUGAACGCUCCCGGUUCCCUCAGCCGCUCCCCGUCAGACUUGUGCUCCUGAUCCUUCUCGGUUUCGUUGCCCUACUCUGGACGCGCUCCAGCGCCUCGAUGUCUUUCUUGUAGCGAGGGGCCCCAGACUGAACGCGGGGCUCGAGGUGCGGCCCCACCAGUGCUGAUCACCACAGUGCUCCUGCUGACUGCACUGUUGCUAAUACGUGCCCAAGCUUUGAGGCAGGACUGCAGAAUAUGGCUCCAAAUAAAGUCUGUGCUCCUGGUACUGCAGAAAUGCUGUUCGCUCUGAUGCAAUUCUCAACCACAUCACCACUACUGAUUGUUUCCAUUAGAAAGGUAUCUGCUAAUCUGAAAAUGGAUCUAGAAGCCAUUGUUCUAGAUACUGCCGUUGACACAGUAAAAAGAAAGCUCAUGCCCUGCAGAGCUCAGGGCUGGAACAGAUGAAGCAAGCUGUGAGGACACCUGCUGAGAAGCCGUACAGGUUUUUUCAGGUCUCACAGACUGUUGCAGCAGCACAAACGAACUUGCUGGAGCACUUUCUGUAAGCCGGAACACAAACAGACAGGUCCGAACAAAGAGGACGAAGCUUCAGCUUACCUUGAGAAUAUUUGCAGGCUUCUAACAAGACCUCCUGCUUCGGAACAACCUCUCUGUUCUCCACAAAGCCAAGAAGUGCAGCUUGCAGAAACACGGCAUCUCUCCCAUGCAAGCCAGCAGCAGCGGCACGCACAAAGGUGAUGGGUCUCUUCACAGGCAGGCACACGUACACACGGCGCACCGCCUCUCUGCACUGCCUGUCUCAUCUUGUCUUCGCCCUUCUGGUGAGCAUGCAGGUACUGGAGCAUACAGGGAUCUUGCAUUUUGCACCCUGCAAGGGAAUGCUUCUAGAAGAGAGAAUCCUCUUAUUUAAGCACAGGAGCAAUGCCGCAGCAACAGCAGUGCAAAUUGUACCACAGAUAAGCUGGCAAGACACACCAGGCUCGAUAAGCCUUCAGGUACUUCUGUGCUGGGAUGUAGAUCUUGCUCAUCUCUUCCGGAGCUUCAGGGAUAAGUAGUGUCAAGGCAGAAAGAAAACUGAUACAUGACAGAAUUUGAAAAUUUUGAGUUUUCUAGAGGGUGCAAAUUGUUUCCUUUUAGAGCCGGAUAGUGCAAUACAAGUAACUUGCCAUGGCAGCCUGCUUACGAGACAGAAAAAGGUGAGAACCACCAGGUGCUUUGUUACUGUAGCAAGGGAAGAGGCAGAGACCUUACCGUUUUUGGUCACUAAUGAGCAGCACACCAUCUAGUAAGUUGUCAGCCGAAGUUCAUGUUGUAUUUGAUGCAAGCUAGCUGAUGUGUGAGCCUCUUUGAUACUUGGAUCAAAACUGAAGUGCGGUCAGAAAGAAAGAAGGAAGUGCUCAGAAGAAUUGAAACAAAGCUGGAUUCUCAGAAGCACAAGGCCUAAUCCAUAUCCGCAACAAGCUGACGCAACUCUGCAGAUGCCAAGAAUGGGAAAGGUAUGCCAGUUUAUCCUUACUACAUGUUGCACUGAAGGAGACACAGGCACAACAGAUGUCAUUAAUAUGUACCAUCAUCCCAAGGGUGUGGGGCUCACAGAAAUACCUAAAACUUGGAACAGAAGUGCAACUGAGAGAUGACACAGAGGAAAAAGACCAGAAGAAGGAAUGGGCUGCCCAAGGAGGUGGUGAGGUAACAGUCUCUGGAGGUUUCAAGAAAAGGAUGGCUGUUGUAUUGCAUGACAUGGCUCAGUGGGCAUGGAGCGUACUUCUAACAGCUCUCCUGCAGCUAUCAGCACAUGCCGGUGGACUUGUUAUAGCACGUUGAACAGCACAUUCUUGCUGGCUCACUGGGGUCUGAUCCAAAGCUUACUGCAGGCAAUGAGGAAGAUUCAUAGACUUCUUCAGUGGCCUUUGGACUGUCCUGUGGAUACAGAAGCACGAUGGCUGAGUUUCAAGUAAAGAGGAUGCUGGGAUGGAGUGUUCAGCUAGCAGUGUAAUCAUGCAGUGAUGAACUGCAGAGUUCACAGCCAAAGAACUGAUCUGCAAGCAAUGCUGGAGGCCCCACAGCAGACAGCAUGUCAUGUCCACUACCAUGUGCUGUAUCCUUGAAAGCAGACUGUCAGGUGGGGAGCUGGAGGUCUAGUUCAGCUUGAAAAGAUACAACUUUGUGUGAAAUGCCAUAUGUUGCCUGAUGAAGCUUUCCUGUAAGGUUGUACUUCAUGAAGCCUGUGAAAAGGAGCAAAAACAAAUGCUUGGAUCUGGUGAGUCAGAGAAAAUGUUUUUUAACUGGAUCAUCUCACUGCCCUUUCUUUUCAUGCCAGAUGCAGCUACAGCAAAAUAAAUUCAAUUCACAGAUUUCUGUCUUCCUCUGGAUCUUUGGAUCAGUUCUAACUCCCACCCAGUCUCAUUCAUUGCUUCUGAUGAUGGUAUCCUGAGCACCUGCUGUGAGCAAAAUUUUUCUUACAUCAUCUUAUGAACACAGUGACUUCAAACAUGUGAAAUCAUGAGGUUAAUACCACACCCAAGGCUUCAAACAAGGCCCUUUCCAGGUGUCUUGGCUGAAUUUUUGAAAAUGCUGUGGUAAUUUCUAGUUCUUGAUCAACACAAGAAUUACCAAAGGUAGAAAGUGUUCUGCCGUACAAGAACAUGAAAGAAUGAGAGAAUGCAGAGCAGCAGUCUGAAUGGGGGAAGUCAGAACCACAGUGUAAAUUAUUCUCACCUUAGAUUUGAUUUUUGCCUUGUAUAAAAUGGUAGUGAAUAUAUUUGUUCUGCAUUAACUACUUGCAAUAAUAAACUUUUGGAGGCACAGUUUUUACCAUAUCUGAUGUAUUUUAGCUGGUAGUGUUAGCUGCAUUGACACCUUUUUUUGAUAAAAAGUAUGAAAAUUUGAAAAUCAAAUCAGAAUGGGGCAAGCUUGAAGAUAUCCCAAAUAUGGAAUGACAACAAAAUUCCCGUUCCUCUGCUUUCAAUCCACAUCAUAGAAUCAUAGAAUUGCUCAAGUUGGAAAAGAUCUUAAAGAUCAUUGAGUCCAACCACAACCUUAACAUACUACCUAACUAACAACCCUCUGCUAAAUCAUGUCCCUGAGCAAAUGUAUAACACUGUGGCAGUAAUGAAAACUGGAUACUCAGAAAAUGGAGUUAUCCAGGGAUAAAGCAAAAUUUCAGGAGUUUAAUACACUAAUUUGGCACUGAGUAAUUUCUGCCUUGCUGAAUAAGAAGAGGAAGAAUAUCUUAAAAUCAUCACAUUUGGGAUGAUAUAAGAAUAGGGAUUACACACACCCAUCAGUCUGAACCUCAAUAGCACGUAAUGUUUUAAAAGAAAAUUUAACUGAAAGCAUAAUUAAAGACAAUGGAAAACAUGGCAGGAGUUUCCCAAGGGUGGAUUACAGCCACCCCUUGUAAUGGGGCUGGUGGGAAGGAAAGGUUGUGCUGAAAUGGAGAACAUCUGAAAGUCUGCAGUGAGAGUUCUUCUGGGCAAUAGUCAUCUCCUCUUCUGUUAGUGCCCUUUGAAAAAAGCACAGAAGCAUGCUAAUGAUGUUUGAUAAUGAUUAAGCUGCAUCAUCAGAGGAAGGCUGGAAAAAGGGGACAGAGCAAUAAGAAUAGAAUAAAACGUAGAGAUAAAAAGUGCAAGGUCACACACUUACUUACAUGAAGUUGGGACUCCCACUCCCCCAGAGAGGACAAAAACCGAGAGGAGCCUCACCUCAAUAGCUUAUGAUUACAGAUGACCAAUUUGGUGUGACCUUGAUAACGCCAUCUCAGGAUAUACCAGACAUGGCAUUUCCAGCAAGAUAGGAUAGUAUAUAUUCCACCAUAUAAGACACGUGGAGUAAAGCCUGCUAUUCUGGUCACCCACCUUCAAGGGAAAAAAAGCUAGAAAAGAAAAACCAGGGUGAUAAUAAAAAUUGUGAACUUGCCUCUAAUGAUGGAAGAUUUUGAGUUUGGCUUGUAUGACUUAGCAAUAUAAAUGUCAAGACGAGAUGAGAGCAGGCCCUAUAAAUAUAUCAGGAAAACAAAUAUCAGAGAGGAGUUAUUUUUAGCUGGAAAAUAUUUUGGCAAAAGAACAGAUAGGUAUAAACUAGCAAUAAAUAAUUGUAGUCUAUAAUUUAGGACGCCUGUAACAAUCAGAGAGAGGCUACUGAGAGGAGGAAGUAGAGACUGGCAGGUAUCUAAGUGACUUUGGUGUGGUUACCUGCAGUAGAAUUGGAUCCCCUAAUGAGAAAGCCCCUUUUUAUCCUGUAUUUCUAAGGUGUAGUGCAGAGGAAUUCCUAAAUGUCAAUUAUACAAGUAUCAACAGCAGUGGGUGUAAUCAACAAUAUUUAUUAGUAGGAGGAGUGACUGGUUGCUUUUUGGGUACGCUCUGACUGGAUAGAGCCACAAGGACAGUUGCGUCUCUUCUUCAGAAGACUCCAAAGGAAUAGCAUGUCUGACCAGGCUUGGUUUUCAGAGAAAGUUUUGCCUGAUCCCUGUUCAUUUGCAUUGCAUCAAUAUAAUUAAUCCAGUCUAACCUGUUCUAGUUCGUGGCACUCCUGCGAUGGUGAGAUCAAAAUCAGGUCCAACAUCUCUGACCGGGUACGCCAUUUGUUAAUACUGCAAUUUAAAGGUUUUAAACAUCUUGUGGCAAAACUGCAGCAUAACUGCUAUAAAGCUUCAUGUAUGUACAACGUGAUUCCUGGAUAGAGAUCACUUCAGCUCCAUAGUUAUUAAUUCACAGGUUUCUCGCUGACCUUAGCUCAGCUCUGGGAGCCGUGCCAGAACAAUUACAGUAACUCUGAGCAGCGCAGGCAUAAAGCUCCUGUAUUUACUCUGAAAUUGUGCCAGGUUUUCUCUGGCUCAGUGAUGGAAAGAUGCAUUUCUUCUUUGAUUAGUUUCAAAUAGUUCAGCCUGGGUUGGCUAUAACAAGGUUACUUCAUUAAAAAAAAAAAAAAAAAAGAGGAGAAAUAAGGUAUUAUGAGGAGGUGUGCAUACACUAUAUACUUGCUGCAUAGAUAACAUUAAGGAAAUGCAAGCUAAAAAGGGGGGAAAGCAAGUCAAGGUGACUUGUUAUCCAGAAAGUAAGUGGCAGAGUUGGAAAUGAAAUUCAAGGGGAAUAUACUUCACUUGGUGUUGUUUUCACUGAAUCGUGCUAUCUUUGUGGAGCACGCUGAGGCCCACCUCCUUCCUUCCUGCAAAGGUAGGGCAGCUGGAAGGCAGAGACACCAGGUGAAGCUGAGCAUGCUCACCACUUGGGAGACCCAGGCCCCUGGUGAUCUUCUCUGACGUUAAUUGACUGUCAGACCUUGCAAAAGGGGAGGGGACACAUUUCCUGAUCUGUGGUUUAAGGUAGUGUUUUCCAGACUCUGGAGUGAAUUUCAUGUUGCAAAGGAAAUGAUGAUGCAAUCUUCCAGCAGCUGCUGUGCUCCAGCAUCCUUGCAAAGGUACAGUACAUAUUUUGUGGGUGUAUGUGUAUAUGCAAGCUGCAUAUUCAAAACCCCAGUUUUUCUUAACAGCAGGCAGGCCUCCAGGUCUCCAGACCCAUCUUCCUAUCCCCAGAAGAAAUACUGCUAAAGGUUGCUCCCAGCAAAACUGUAGCGGUCAUCCUGAAAGCGAGCUCCUGAAAAAUCAAGUUUUUAUGUAAGACUGCCAUGGGUGUGAUCUCAUCUUCCUACGUGCCAGGUCUAUGAGUCCUGUACCUAAAACAUAGAAAGGUUCCUCAUAACUGCAAGUGAAAUGGCAAGAGCAACGUUCUGAAUGAAUAUAUUGUGAUGAGUCUGAAAGAUCAGGGAACGCGUGUCUUUGAAUAGGUAAAUCUAAUUGAUGAACGUGUGAGUCUGAUGAUGGAAUUAACCUGAUUUAAUUAAUUACUCCCUCUUGGUGGAACUGCGAAAACUGACUGUAGUGUGCUUUAGUCUUUUAGUUUUUAAAAUCAAUCACAUUAAGGGAAAGUAAACAAGUUUGGUUCAGAGAUGGAAGGGCUGUUACGUGCUUAGUUUAUACGGCUCUGCAGAUGCCCAGUGAGCUGCUGAGCUCCAGAAACUGAAUCCUGUAUGCUGGCCUGUCUGUGCUGGGGGUGUAUGUAGCAGCGAUGGCUCCCUGCCUUCAUGCCCAAGCUUUUAGUUGAGCAGAAACAGACCAUCUUGCCUAACAUAGAUGGGAUGAAGAUUUGCUUCAGGAAGUGUAUGGGAACUGUUGGGUCACAGCCUGAACCACUGAUUGAGCACCUGAGGAAGACCUGGUCAGCUGUGGGAGCACAGGUGAAGGCAAUUCAUCUCGUGACCCCUCUUAGACCUCAUUUACAGGCUGACCAGUACUGGGGAAGCAUCUCUGGUUGGGGAUCUCUUCCCUGUGGAGUCUUUUCUGUAAGCCUAGCUCUUAGGACACUGCUGAGUGCCUUUAUUUUCCUUUGAAAUACCUUCUCAUCUAUGCUAGUUCUUUUGAUGUUACUCUCCUGUAUGGUCCUUCCACCAAGUUAAUGUUUCCAAUUGUAACAGGAGGUGAGUGGAACAUCCAGAUGGUGUGCUUGGGGACAUCCCAGAAGCUCCCAACCUCCUGAAAUAACUAAGUGUUCUUGAUUCACACCAGGGAUUGAACAGUGAAGAAGAACUGGAAUGAUGCCAUAGUGCUCCCCAAUAGGAGGUGAUGAAUGGGACAAGCAUGUUGCUGCUCGUGCAGCCAAGUGAUGAGCCAACAGUGCAAGUUCUGCUCUUGCUGCUAACAAAGCUAUACCGCCUCUGCCUCAAGCUGUUUCCUGCACAGCUCUCCUUGCCCUGCGACCAUCCCUAGGGCUCCGUUCAGCCAGGAUCCCUCGCUUCAGGGAACACGCGGAGCUCUCCUCC